GGGGAUGUGGGAGGAUAUGGGUCUGUAAUGUGCUGUGUGGGGAUCUCGAGGGAUGAGGGGAUAUUGGUGUGUUUUGGGAAUAGAGGGGGAUGGAGGGAUGUGGGGCCACAGGGGGUGCUAUAGAGGGAUGUAGGGCUGUGCGUGGGUUGUAGGAGGAGAUGGGGCUGUAGGGGGCUGUGUUGGGAAUACAGGGAGGGUGUGAGGGGCCAUGGGGAGGCCAGAGGGAGAAAUGGGACUGUGGGGGGUAUAGGGUAGGGCUUUGGGGCGACAGGGGGCUGUAGUGGGUUACAGGGGUGGAUAUUGGGGGAUAUGGGGCUGUAGUGGUCUGUGGGGGCUAUCGGGAGGGAUGUGGGUCUACUGGGGGCUAUAGGGGGGCUGCAGAGGGAUAUAGGGCUGUGUGGGGGUUGUUGGAGGACAUGAGGCUAUAGGGCGGUAGGGUGGCUCUAGGGUUGGCUCUAGGGGUUUGCGGGGCUUUAUGGAGCUUAAUUGUAUCUCUAGGGGGGCUAUGGGGCUCUAGAAAGCUGUGGGGGACUGUAGAAGGGGUAUUGGGGUAUAUGGGAAAAGAGGGGGAUGUGGUUGGAAUCUAGGGAUCUGUGGGCAGCUAUUGGGGGAUAUGGGGCUCUAGGGUGCUGCAGAGUCUUUAGGGAGUGUUUUAGGGCUAUAUGGGGGAUAUAGGGGGAUUUGGUUCUCUAGGGGGCUGUGGGGGUAUAGGGGUGAUAUGGGUGUGUAGGGGGCUUUGGGAGGAGCUCCACGGUUCUAUGAGGGGUCUGUAAGGGCUAUAGGUGUGUUCGAGGGGGAUAUGUGGCUUUAGGGGUUUGUGGCAACAUGUGGGAGGGUUGUGGGUGCUAGGGGUUGGGGGGGGCUCUAGGGCAGGAUGUUGUGCUGUAGGAGAUUGUGGGGGCCUGAGGGAGGAUAUAGGGUGUCUGUGGGGAUAUAGGGGAGAUAUGGAGUCUAGAAGGGUUCUAGGGGGAUAUGAGGCUG
ensembl:lncRNA